GAAAUUACUCCAAAUAAAAGUAAAAUACUGUAUAGGAAAGCAUAGGCAUAUACCAUCCAAACAAUUGGGCAGAUGAAGCAAAUAGAACCUAUUUGAAAAUUGUAAAAGUGGUUCCAUGGCUGCCACCGGUCCCAAAGGUGCCCAUGUCCUACUCCCCAAAAACCUGCAAAUGUCACCAGAGAGGCAAAAGAGUGUUUAACCUUAUAUGGCAAAAGAUGUGAUUAAGUUAUGGAUCUUGAGAGGAGGGUCUUAUCCUGGACCAGCCUAGUAGGCACUACAUGCUAUUCCACCUCUCCUAACAGCCAUGCAGAGAGGGACUAGAUACAGACAGAGGAACAGGCAAGGUGAAGCCAUGCAGAGGUCAGAGGGAUGCAGCCACAAGCCCAUGGAUGUAAGGAGCACCAGAACCUAGAGGCAAGGCAUGGAUUUUCCCCAGAGCCUCCAGAAGGAGCAAGUUCCUGCCAAUACCUCAGUUUCAGAUGUCUGACCUCCAGAAUUGUUGAGAAUAAAUAUCCAUUGUUUUAAGUCAUCAAAACUGUGGUAAUUUGUUACAGUUGCCCUCAGGAAACCAGUAAAGUUGCCUAAACUUGUUAGAGUUUGGAUUUUGUUACUUCUACCUAAAAAGGUUCUGGUUUGUGCACUGGUAUUAAGUUUGGCUCAAAACCUCCAGGCUGAUUCCAGCAGCGGCCCCCACCCCACAUGUGAGCCACCAUGUCCUGCCAGGCAGCUGUCACUGUCAUGUACAUACUGUCAGAGACUGAAGUCCUGACUAGGGACUAUAUCUGCACACCCGCCCCCAGGAACUGGGUCUCUAUUACCUGUUGCCAAUAUUGAUUCCCCAGCCAGCAGGUGACUGGAGCUGGGGCUGAGGCAGAAAGGCAGGUGCUGGAAGCUCUGUGGAUUUGUUGGUGGAAACUUCAUGCCUCAUGAAUGCCUUUCUGGCUUGAAGCCCAGCAUCUAAGUGCACAGUUCAUGUGGAAACCACUCACUGCCACUCCUCCCCAGGGGAGUCAGGCCAGGCCAAGCUCACAUUUUUUGCAGGAAGCGUG
rnacentral:lncRNA from 1 species